GCACCUAUAAUAAAUCGUUAGUUCCCUUUUUAUGACCUUUGGUUAAUUAUUUUACAACCUCUUGGAAUAUGUUCUAAGAAGGAAAAGUCUGGUUACCAUGUAAGAGCAGUUAGCUGGUGACACUUGGGAAACUGGCAGAGUUCUUAUUGUAGUUUUGACUAUUAGAAAAGGACCUAAUAGCAGUCCUGCUAUAAAAGAUCUUAAUAACGACAGAUAUAAUUUGAGGAAUUUUUAUAGGGUCAUCAUUAAGACUUAAGACAUUACCUGUUUGUCUGGAUAGCACCACCACAAGGCAGUACAUCUUUGUAGAUUUGCAGACAUCUGCUCCAAAAGGGUGUGCUAUUACUUAGUGAUUGUUAUAUAUGUUGUUAAUAACAACAGGAAAAGCAUAUUAAUAGCAGGAAUCUCUCCUAAAAUGAAUCCCUCACAGCCUUGCUUAAGAAGGGCACACCUGUUGCAGACUACAUAAUAAUCCAAAGCAGGCCAUUUCAGGAUGUUCACCUGCUAGUUAUUAGCUUGGCCCAUUAUGACUCCUGACAUUGGUUGAUGUCCUGGAACAGAAUAUCCAUUCCUUCCUACCCUCCUGACUCCUCUACGGCAUUAGAAGCCCAGUUUCCCAUUCUGCCUAACUCCUUGUCUGGGCACCACUUGUAAGCAGACUUUUUGGCUACUUUAUACAUGUGCAUGUGUGUGCAUUUGUGUGUGUGUGUGUGUGCAUUUGUGUGUGUGUGUAUGUAUGUAUGUAUGUAUGUGUGUAACCAGGACCUCAUUGCUCAGGAGAAUGCACCCAUGAAGCAAAAGUAGCUCAGUAAAACUGAGAGCAGAAAUCCUCCAUAGCAUCUUGGAUUGAACAGAUAGAUUAUGGGUUAAUUUACCAAUUUCUGUCCGCUUUAAGCUGCAGGAUUUGUUCAUCCUGCUAACAAAUGGGGAGCUAACAAGCUGUGCUCACCCAUUUACUGCUGUUUUUGCUACAAGAACGAGGUGCAGGUCUGGAAGUGUAAGUUCCAUGUUCUGCACAUUCUGCCUGAUCUCUCACUCUUAUUUUUAGCAGUUAUGUGCCAGCCUCUUUGGCUGCCAGGAUUAGAUAAUAAAUCCGUGAGAGUCCUGACCCUUCUUCCCUGAGAACCAGCUGCUUUCCUUUGGGCUCUGAGAUGAGCCUGGGUUGGAAAGUGGUGACCAAGAUGUGUUCUGUAGAGGCCCUGUGUCCAAACUGUGGCUUUGGGCAUGGCAGCUGUUUGUACCAGUGUACAGGCAGCAAAGCACUUGUAGGAAAGGUCUUCUAGCUAACCUUGGCCUUCAUAUGAACUCACCAUGCUCUCGGGACUUCAGCAUUUCUCUGUUUCCCACUUUUCUAGGUGACUGAGAAGUGUGCCAAGAAGUGCUGGGACCUUCAGGCCAAUAGGUUUAGACUAGAAUACAUUUGUUUAGGUGGUAUCCUGAGGUUUUACCCUGGUGUAUGGGGAAAUACUUUCCAUACGCCAGUCCUACCUAACCUUCCAGUAUCUUCUGAGGGCCUCCCACAGCCUUUCCGAGUGGGACUUUGCCCUUUUCACAGUGAAGAUUGCUUAUGGCAAUAUACUCCCAAAUUUUUGUUCCUGCAAAGAGUAACUAGUAUUUAUUUUCUAUUUAUUUAUUUAUUUAUUUUAUCAGUUUCUAGUCUUUGCUCAUUAUGCUAUCAAAUCUGUUAACUCACUAAGGUCUGGGGAAAAACUAAUAUCUGAACCCAUGAAACAGCCUUCUCAAUAGCUUAAGACGACUUGGAGAAUUGUAGGUAGAGUCUUCUCACCAGUGUCACAAAAGCUUGGUGCCUGGAGGGGCUGUUGUAGUCAGGUUAUGCCUUUGUUUUAGACAAGGAAACCAAUGUGUGGGUAAAGUAGCUUACGCAGCAGCCAGUUAGCAACCGAAUUCAGAUGGAACAGGUCCUCUCCAUCAGCCUGCCUUCUGCUCCUCCUGUCUUCCUCACGGCUCAGUCACUUUUGUCACACAU
rnacentral:lncRNA from 1 species